rnacentral:rRNA from 1 species
AUUGAACGCUGGCGGCAUGCUUUACACAUGCAAGUCGAACGGUAACAGGGAGCUUGCUCCGCUGACGAGUGGCGAACGGGUGAGUAAUGCGUCGGAACGUGCCGAGUAGUGGGGGAUAACGCAGCGAAAGUUGUGCUAAUACCGCAUACGUACUGAGGUAGAAAGUGGGGGACCUUCGGGCCUCACGCUAUUCGAGCGGCCGACGUCUGAUUAGCUAGUAGGUGAGGUAAAGGCUCACCUAGGCGACGAUCAGUAGCGGGUCUGAGAGGAUGAUCCGCCACACUGGGACUGAGACACGGCCCAGACUCCUACGGGAGGCAGCAGUGGGGAAUUUUGGACAAUGGGCGAAAGCCUGAUCCAGCCAUGCCGCGUGUCUGAAGAAGGCCUUCGGGUUGUAAAGGACUUUUGUCGGGGAGGAAAUCCCCAGCGCUAAUACCGCUGGGGGAUGACAGUACCUGAAGAAUAAGCACCGGCUAACUACGUGCCAGCCGCCGCCGUAAAAC